UACGUAGGGUGCAAGCGUUGUCCGGAAUUAUUGGGCGUAAAGAGCUCGUAGGCGGUCUGUCGCGUCGGAUGUGAAAACUCGGGGCUCAACCCCGAGCCUGCAUUCGAUACGGGCAGACUAGAGUUCGGUAGGAGAGACUGGAAUUCCUGGUGUAGCGGUGAAAUGCGCAGAUAUCAGGAGGAACACCGGUGGCGAAGGCGGGUCUCUGGGCCGUAACUGACGCUGAGGAGCGAAAGCGUGGGGAGCGAACAGG
rnacentral:rRNA from 1 species